AGAGCACCAAUUAUGCUAAUAAAUUGGCACGUUAGCACGUUAUUGCAAUAUCCCAUAGUACAUACAUGUUAUUAAAACUUGAACUAAUGCAUUGUGAGUCUUAUAAAUUGCUUACAUACCUCACCGAUUUCCCACUGUCUGGAAAACGCUCGGUUUAGUUCCUGUCUCCGCCUCCCAAAAUGUCUAGUGUAAUCGGAUUGGUCAGAUGACUACUCAACUGUUAUUGGUCAACUGGGUUCGGCGUGUGUUUGAAAGGUUACGCCCCUGACUACGCGUGGGUUGACACAGAUUCUGACUGAGAGUCACAGGCAACGUAAACAAGCGCUAUAUUUCUCUAUAAACGAUGGUGUCUGUACUGCCUUACCACUUCAAGCUCGAUCCAGAGAGUUCAGUAGGCCGUUACGAUAUAAACGAUCUCCGUCAAUGAAUGCGAUUGGAUUUAACUUUUUUAGGUGUCCUUAGCUCUGCCAGAAUGCUAAACGAAGACGAAAAUGUGUUGCAAAGACAUCCAAAAGGUUUUAAGGAGAAUGCAACAGGUUCCAGGGCCUCUUACCUGCGUGAUUCAUCAUCCAGGUUUUGCACAAAUUGUCUAAAUCCCUACACACAGAACAUUUAUUGUACCGACUAUAAGCCUUUGAGGUGCAGGACUAGAAUAUGCUUGGAGCUUCCUGAUCGGAAUGUUGGCUUCCGACGACCCCUGCACUGAAGAUGGCAUGCAAUCACGUCCUCCUUUGAAGGUCUCUCAAACUGUGAUGCCAGGUCCAUUGGAAUCGGGGUUUCC